UUUGGUGAAAUCUAUGUGGAUAUCACAUUUUAGAAAUGGACCUUACAUAAAGUGGUGAGACCCGCGUAGUUUUCAUCCAA
rnacentral:pre_miRNA from 1 species